CCUACGGGAGGCAGCAGUGGGGGAUAUUGCACAAUGGGGGGAACCCUGAUGCAGCGACGCCGCGUGGGCGAUGGAGUACUUCGGUAUGUAAAGCCCUAUCAGCAGGGAAGAAAAUGACGGUACCUGACUAAGAAGCCCCGGCUAAAUACGUGGCAGCAGCCGCGGUAAUACGUAUGGGGCAAGCGUUAUCCGGAUUUACUGGGUGUAAAGGGAGCGGAGGCGGCCUGGCAAGCCUGAUGUGAAAUACCGGGGCCCAACCCCGGGGCUGCAUUGGGAACUGCCAGGCUGGAGUGCCGGCGAGGCAG
rnacentral:rRNA from 1 species